AUUGCUUCUCAGUCUUUUGGCUAAGAUCAAGUGUAGUAUCUGUUCUUAUCCGUUUGAAAGAUAUCCUUGAGUGAGGAUUGGAAAAGAGUGGAGCUGCAAUGUGAACCAUGGAGCUGAGCUCCCAGAAAGGAUGAACAUUAAGGCCUAGGGUCAGGCCCUUCCUCCCUGGGAUCCUUGGUCCUGA